GCCGGAGUGGUGAAAUUGGCAGACACGCAGGUCUCAAAAACCUGUGGGCUUAAACCCGUGUCGGUUCGACUCCGACCUCCGGCA
rnacentral:tRNA from 1 species